rnacentral:rRNA from 1 species
CAUAGCGUAUAUUAAAGUUGUUGCAGUUAAAAAGCUCGUAGUUGGAUUUCUGGGAGAGUGCCAAUGUCCGCCGAAGUGCGUGCGCAGCGGCGCUCUUUCAUCCUUCUGUUAACGGCUCUUGGCAUUCAUUUGCUGGUGUCGGGCUCAGAUAUUUUACCUUGAGAAAAUUAGAGUGUUUCAGGCAGGCUAGGCCGGAAUACAUUAGCAUGGAAUAAUGGAAUAGGACUACGGUCUCUUUGUUGGUUUGAGGGACUGCAGUAAUGAUUAAUAGGGACAGUCGGGGGCAUUCGUACUUAAUUGUCAGAGGUGAAAUUCUUGGAUUUAUUAAAGACGAACUACUGCGAAAGCAUUUGCCAAGGAUGUUUUCAUUGAUCAAGAACGAAAGUUAGGGGAUCGAAGACGAUUAGAUACCGUCGUAGUCUUAACCAUAAACUAUGCCGACUAGGGAUUGGAGGAUGUUUUUGUGACACCUUCAGCACCUCGAGAGAAAUCAAAGUCU